UACGUAGGGGGCAAGCGUUGUCCGGAUUUAUUGGGCGUAAAGAGCGUGUAGGCGGUUUGGUAGGUCGGUUGUGAAAACUCGAGGCUCAACCUCGAGACGCCGGUGGAAACCAUCAGACUAGAGUCCGGAAGAGGAGAGUGGAAUUCCUGGUGUAGUGGUGAAAUACGUAGAUAUCUGGAGGAAUACCGGUGGCGAAGGCGGCUAUCUGGCCAAACAUUGACGCUGAGAGACGAAAGCAUGGGGAUCAAACAGG
rnacentral:rRNA from 1 species